UGAUCCUUGCCUGACCUGUUGGACCGGAGCACAUUCUGGCCUCAAGAUAUUCUGAAAGGAUAUUUUCAAAGGCUGCAUGUUUUAUACUAACUGUGAAACAACCUGAGCAUGUUUAUCUCUGGCUGUGAAUGAUUUAUAGCCUGCAAUUUGUGUUCUAGCAGCCUGCCGAACUGGCACAAAGAACUGUGUGUGAGUGAGGAAAGGAAGAUUGAAAACGUGCAUUCAACUCCAAGUUGGAUACCAGAAGAGCCUAAUUGCCCAGAGUGUACAACAUUCCCUGCUUCACAGCUGAACCAAAUGAUUCAAUCUACUCUGACAGACCUAGUCAAUCCUUAAUAGGAUUAGGAUUCAACAUGGCAGGUGUGCUAGCCUCCUCUGUAAAUGGGAAAAACUUGGGAAUGUUCUCCAAAGAAGACAGUGCGUCACACUGUGGGAAAAUGCCCUCAGAGCACCUAUCAAGGGAAUUCCAGAGACUGUCUGUAUGCAAUUCCAUCAUGUAUUGACUAUAUAAAUAGUCUACCUUUGAAUAUGUAAA